GCCUACUGUUUAAUUUUGAGGGUUCGUUUUUACGAAUACUCAAAAUUAGCACUUUAAGCAACAGAAUAAACUGAACGCAUGUGAAGUUUGUUUGUUGGCGCUGUGCGUUAGCACUUUAAGCAACGGGAUUUAUCCGUUGGCGCUGUGCGUUAGCACUUUAAGCAACGGGAUUUAUCCGUUGGCGCCGUGCGUUAGCACUUUGAAAACUGCAUAUAUAUUUAGUGAUAUGACAUCUAAUUUGUAGUAUAUAAAGCUGAUAACUUUUUAAAAUUAUCGAAGUUGAUAGCUUCUAAUCUAUCAAACCUUUUUAACUGGUCAA
rnacentral:misc_RNA from 1 species